GGACCCAUCCUCCAAGGCUAAAUACUCCUGACUGACCGAUAGUGAACCAGUACCGUGAGGGAAAGGCGAAAAGAACCCCGGCGAGGGGAGUGAAAAAGAACCUGAAACCGUGUACGUACAAGCAGUGGGAGCACGCUUAGGCGUGUGACUGCGUACCUUUUGUAUAAUGGGUCAGCGACUUAUAUUCUGUAGCAAGGUUAACCGAAUAGGGGAGCCGAAGGGAAACCGAGUCUUAACUGGGCGUUAAGUUGCAGGGUAUAGACCCGAAACCCGGUGAUCUAGCCAUGGGCAGGUUGAAGGUUGGGUAACACUAACUGGAGGACCGAACCGACUAAUGUUGAAAAAUUAGCGGAUGACUUGUGGCUGGGGGUGAAAGGCCAAUCAAACCGGGAGAUAGCUGGUUCUCCCCGAAAGCUAUUUAGGUAGCGCCUCGUGAAUUCAUCUCCGGGGGUAGAGCACUGUUUCGGCAAGGGGGUCAUCCCGACUUACCAACCCGAUGCAAACUGCGAAUACCGGAGAAUGUUAUCACGGGAGACACACGGCGGGUGCUAACGUCCGUCGUGAAGAGGGAAACAACCCAGACCGCCAGCUAAGGUCCCAAAGUCAUGGUUAAGUGGGAAACGAUGUGGGAAGGCCCAGACAGCCAGGAUGUUGGCUUAGAAGCAGCCAUCAUUUAAAGAAAGCGUAAUAGCUCACUGGUCGAGUCGGCCUGCGCGGAAGAUGUAACGGGGCUAAACCAUGCACCGAAGCUGCGGCAGCGACGCUUAUGCGUUGUUGGGUAGGGGAGCGUUCUGUAAGCCUGCGAAGGUGUGCUGUGAGGCAUGCUGGAGGUAUCAGAAGUGCGAAUGCUGACAUAAGUAACGAUAAAGCGGGUGAAAAGCCCGCUCGCCGGAAGACCAAGGGUUCCUGUCCAACGUUAAUCGGGGCAGGGUGAGUCGACCCCUAAGGCGAGGCCGAAAGGCGUAGUCGAUGGGAAACAGGUUAAUAUUCCUGUACUUGGUGUUACUGCGAAGGGGGGACGGAGAAGGCUAUGUUGGCCGGGCGACGGUUGUCCCGGUUUAAGCGUGUAGGCUGGUUUUCCAGGCAAAUCCGGAAAAUCAAGGCUGAGGCGUGAUGACGAGGCACUACGGUGCUGAAGCAACAAAUGCCCUGCUUCCAGGAAAAGCCUCUAAGCAUCAGGUAACAUCAAAUCGUACCCCAAACCGACACAGGUGGUCAGGUAGAGAAUACCAAGGCGCUUGAGAGAACUCGGGUGAAGGAACUAGGCAAAAUGGUGCCGUAACUUCGGGAGAAGGCACGCUGAUAUGUAGGUGAAGUCCCUUGCGGAUGGAGCUGAAAUCAGUCGAAGAUACCAGCUGGCUGCAACUGUUUAUUAAAAACACAGCACUGUGCAAACACGAAAGUGGACGUAUACGGUGUGACGCCUGCCCGGUGCCGGAAGGUUAAUUGAUGGGGUCAGCGCAAGCGAAGCUCUUGAUCGAAGCCCCGGUAAACGGCGGCCGUAACUAUAACGGUCCUAAGGUAGCGAAAUUCCUUGUCGGGUAAGUUCCGACCUGCACGAAUGGCGUAAUGAUGGCCAGGCUGUCUCCACCCGAGACUCAGUGAAAUUGAACUCGCUGUGAAGAUGCAGUGUACCCGCGGCAAGACGGAAAGACCCCGUGAACCUUUACUAUAGCUUGACACUGAACAUUGAGCCUUGAUGUGUAGGAUAGGUGGGAGGCUUUGAAGUG
rnacentral:rRNA from 1 species